rnacentral:rRNA from 1 species
GUCUUUUUGAAAUUUAAUAGAAAGUCUGACCUGCCCAGUGAUUAAUUUAACGGCCGCGGUAUACUGACCGUGCAAAGGUAGCAUAAUCAUUAGUCUUUUAAAAGAGGGCUGGAAUGAAAGGUUUGACGAAGUAUUGACUGUCUCAUCUUAUUUGAAAUUAAAACUUAACUUUUUAGUCAAAAGGCUCAAAUUUUAUUGGAAGACGAGAAGACCCUAUAGAGCUUUAUAUUAUUUAUUUUGAUUAAUUAUAUAUAAUUUUUAGUUAAAAUAUAUAUUAUUUUGUUGGGGUGACAAGAAAAUAAAAUUAACUUUUUUAAAUAUUUAACAUUAAUAUAUGAUUAUUUGAUCCACUAUUAUUGAUUAUUAGACUAAGUUACCUUAGGGAUAACAGCGUAAUCCUCCCCCAGAGUUCAUAUUUACGGGUAGGGCUUGCGACCUCGAUGUUGGAUUAAGAUAAUAAUUAGGUGUAGCCGCUUAUUUUAUAGGUCUGUUCGACCUUUAAAUUCUU